GGUGUUGAAAGUGGUUGUGCCUAAAGUGAAGGAGGAGGAGAGGAAGGAUGUGUAUCAAGUCACCGUUGAGUAGUGUACAAGUUUAUUGUUAGUGAAGGUAAAUGGAUGUGAAUAAGGACUAGGGUGUUAGAAUUGUGUGACCCAAAUUCUAAGAGAUUGCUUGCAAGUUAAGUUAAACAAAAAUAUAUUUUCUUUCUAGAAGAUUUAGUAUUUAUUAGUAUAAUAUAUUUAGCAUUUAUUAGUAUAGUUUAUUUGACUUACUAAUUUAGCCUAUAAAUAGGCUCCUUUACAAUCUUAGAAUUAAGAGACACCCAUUAGAUUAGAACUCAUAACACAUUCAGAGAAUUUUGUGUUUACGUUUGAGGGUUCUUUGUUUUUCGGGUUUUCGGGGUUUAGUUUUUAUCUCCAUCUUUUGUACUCUUCAUUCUUUUGCCAUUAUAGUAAAUUUAUCUUUGCCCGUGGUUUUUUAUCCUCUUUUGAGGGGUUUUUCCACGUUAAAUUUGUGUGUUCAUCUUCUCAAUUUCUUCUACUAUUUUUACUUGUUCGUUGCUUAUUCGGGACGAUCCUAACAAGUGGUAUCAGGGCUAGUUUAACUUUCAUAGAUCAGCCCGGUCAGAGAUGGCAGCAACAAUGUUUGAAAUUGAGAAGUUCGAUGGUGAGACAAAUUUCAAUCUGUGGCAAGUUCAGAUGAUGGCAAUUCUAGUUCAAAAUGGCUUGAAAAAGGUUGUUACAGGGAAAAAGCCUGAGAAUCUAAAUCAAACAGAAUGGGAAGAGCUUGAUGAAAAGGCCUUGUCUGCAAUCCAGUUGUGCCUCGCGAAUACAGUAUUGCAAGAGGUAUUGAUGGAGAAGACCUCAUUCGCCUUGUGGAAAAGGUUAGAAACUCUUUAUGCGACUAAGUCUCUGGCUAACCGUUUAGUGUUGAAACAACGUCUAUUUACGUUUCGCAUGAACGAAGGUGAGCUUCUUAAAGAUCACAUCAGUCAAUUCAUUACUCUUUUAAAUGAUUUAAAGAACGUUGAGGUUCAUAUUGACGAUGAAGAUCAAGCUAUGCUAUUAUUGUGCUCUUUACCCUCUUCAUACAAGUCUUUCAGGGAGACCCUGAUUUAUGGCAGAGACAAACUCUCGUUCGAAGAUGUGAAGGGUCAUUUGUUGAGUAGAGACAAACUCGACAAUGAGUUUGAUUUGAAUAGCAAAGCAGAUAGACAAGCUUCCGUUUUGGUAGCAUCAAAGAAACGAGACAAAAGGUGUCGCUAUUGCAAAAAGUUAGGUCACGUCAAAGCAGAUUGUUAUAAACUGCGAAAUAAAAGAGCUACUGAGAGUAACGAGGAAGAUGUAGCUGGUGCUAAUUUGGUCGAUGAAGGCGGUGAUGAUUUCUUGUUAGUGUCAACGAGCGAUAACUCCAAGCUUAAGUCUGAGUAGAUCCUAGAUUCAGGAUGUUCUUUCCACAUGUGUCCCAAUAGAGAAUGGUUCUCCACAUACAGUUCAGUUGAAGGUGGAGUUGUGCACAUGGGAAACGAUUCAUCUAGUAAAAUAAUCGGUAUUGGUACUGUUAAAAUUAGGAUACACGAUGGGACGAUUAGGACACUCUCAGAUGUCAGGUAUGUACCUGAUUUACGAAAGAAUCUCAUCUCCUUGAGUAUUUUAGACUUGAAAGGAUGCAGAAUCAACAUCGAGUCGAGCGACAUUAAAGUAUCUCGUGGAGUUCUCGUUUUGUUAAAAGGUAAAAGAACCGGCAGUCUUUAUAUUCUGGAAGGUUCUACAGUGACCGGUGAAAUCGGACGUCCCUCGUCCGUUACGGAGUCAAAGUCUACUCAUUUGAAGCGGAGGCAACUUGGUCAUAGGAGGGAAAAAUGUAUGACCGUUUCGUUGAAGAGAGGUUCUCUUUUGGAUGCAAGUUUUGAAAAGUUAGGGCACUGUAUUCGUGAAAAUCAGACCCGGGUUAGUUUUGAUUUGGCAGUGCACAAGUCGAAGGCUAGAAGUCUUCCAGCUUCUAAGCAUAGAUUCGACUCAGUUAAUUCCCUGCAUAGUUCAAGAUAGGCCCGUGGCGGGUUUUGGCAAAGAUGGCAUUGAAAGAAUUUGUGUCAAGGUGGAGAUUGUUAGAAUUGUGUGACCCAAAUUCUAAGAGAUUGCUUGCAAGUCAAGUUAAACAAAAAUAUAUUUUCUUUCUAGAAGAUUUAGUAUUUAUUAGUAUAAUAUAUUUAGCAUUUAUUAGUAUAGUUUAUUUGACUUACUAAUUUAGCCUAUAAAUAAGCUCCUUUACUAUCUUAGAAUUAAGAGACACCCAUUAGAUUAGAACUCAUAACACAUUCAGAGAAUUUUGUGUUUACGUUUGAGGGUUCUUUGUUUUUCGGGUUUUCGGGGUUUAGUUUUUAUCUCCAUCUUUUGUACUCUUCAUUCUUUUGCCAUUAUAGUAAAUUUAUCUUUGCCCGUGGUUUUUUAUCCUCUUUUGAGGGGUUUUUCCACGUUAAAUUUGUGUGUUCAUCUUCUCAAUUUCUUCUACUAUUUUUACUUGUUCGUUGCUUAUUCGGGACGAUCCUAACAUAGGGUUUUUGCUGCUUUAGGGUGAUGGAGAGUUAAUGUUAGCUCAUAUUGUAAUGUAAUCUUCGAGUCUUUAAGAUGCGAGUUUAAUAAAUAAACUAGGGUUAUGUUUUGUAUGAUAAAAGUAGUUUCUCUCCAUCUUUAGUUUGUUAGCUUCAUUUCUGC
rnacentral:lncRNA from 1 species